rnacentral:rRNA from 1 species
AUACGUAGGGGGCGAGCGUUGUCCGGAAUGAUUGGGCGUAAAGGGCGCGUAGGCGGCCCGGUAAGUCUGGAGUGAAAGUCCUGUUUUUAAGAUGGGAAUUGCUUUGGAUACUGUUGGGCUUGAGUGCAGGAGAGGUAAGUGGAAUUCCCAGUGUAGCGGUGAAAUGCGUAGAGAUUGGGAGGAACACCAGUGGCGAAGGCGACUUACUGGACUGUAACUGACGCUGAGGCGCGAAAGUGUGGGGAGCAAACAGGAUUAGAUACCCUGGUAGUCCACACUGUAAACGAUGAAUGCUAGGUGUAGGGGGUAUCGACCCCUUCUGUGCCGCAGUCAACACAAUAAGCAUUCCGCCUGGGGAGUACGGCCGCAAGGUUGAAACUCAAAUGAAUUGACGGGG